AUGAGGGCUGCUCCAGGAGGCCCCUUGAACUUCUAUGGGAUCAGGCUCAAAGGCGGAGAUAUUUCCUGCUUAAAAGACUCCCUGAAGAAGGAGGAGGAGGAGGAGAAUCAGCAUUGUGGGCUGCAACAACCGUCUUCCUUUUCCUCCAACCCUUUGGGUCAAGGGUCCUCACCCUUAGCUGCUAGUUGGAAUCGCCUGGGAAGCUCUGAAAUAUCCAGAGGUCCAAGGCCCCAGCCCAGACCACUUCCAUCUGAGCCUCGGAGCGGGGUGGGGUGGAGGGCUACGGGGCAUCGGCAUUUUUUUCAUGCUCCCCCAAGCGAUUCCAGCGUGCAGGACUGGCUGCUGGGGGAUUCGGGCAGGCUCUCCAGAGGAACCAGCCAGUGGAGGAUGUUUGCGUGCGAGCGAUCUGGCGUCCAGCUGUGCCCCGAGGCCCAGCUUGGAGACGGCGGGUCUCCGGGUCCCCGCAGGCAACGACACGUGCGGCCGCUCCGACCUGUCUGGUUAUCUACCGAGACCGCCAGCCGACCUCGGCGGCCGCCGCGCGGCCCACCCCGACCACAGAGGUUCGCAGGAAACGCCCGGGGCUCGGGAAUUCCUACCUUGCCUGCCGGCGCUGCCCUCCGGUCCCCGGAAUCCUGCGACUCCGGUUCGAUCUGUCGCCGGGGCUCCGCGGUCGCUUUCGUCUGCGCCCGAGAGGCGCCCACUAGAGCGCAGGCGCCACCUAGUGGGCGCGGGGCGGAGGCGCGGGGACCGGGCGGGGAGGUGGGAGAGCGGUAG